UCUAGCUACGUCCCACGGACGCCAUCUUGGCAGUCAGUUGUUUAAGUAGUCAAGACCAGCCCAUCAUAAAAAUCUGCGCAGGUUCGCGGAGGCGUGUUGUUGUUUUCAAAACGACCGAGGUUAUGACUGGUGGGACUGAGUUUCACAAAAGCUACAAUAAUAGCAAGGACUCUGAGCCUUCAAUGGAUGUGGAUAUGGAUUCUAGUCAUUUGGAAAGUGAGCGGGGUGAAUUGGACAGUAACGCUAGUAUCCCGGCUGCUUGCUCUUCCAACGGCAGUGGCGGGGAAGAGGACGAGGCGGAGGCCGUUGAUCGUGUGAGAGAAGCCGGGGGCUCUAGUAUUCAUCACACCCCGGAUAGAGGCGCAGUAUUCUGCAGCGGAAGGGAGCAGGAGGUCUCAGUCGAAAUUGGAGAGACGUAUUUAUGUCAACGAGCUGACAAGACAUGGCAUACAGCAGAGGUUAUUCAGUCCCGAUUGAAUGAACAGGAGGGAAGAGAGGAGUUCUAUGUUCACUAUGUAGGAUUUAACAGACGCUUAGAUGAGUGGGUGGGUAAAGCCCGCCUGGCACUCACCAAGACGGUGAAGGAUGCAGUGAGGAAGAGCACAGAGAUUGGAAGUGUUGGUGAUUUGGGUGAACAGCCUGAAAGGAAGAUCACUCGCAACCAGAAGCGCAAACAUGAUGAGAUCAACCAUGUACAGAAGACAUAUGCUGAGAUGGACCCAACAACAGCUGCCUUGGAGAAGGAGCAUGAGGCGAUCACAAAAGUGAAAUAUGUGGAUAAGAUCCAGAUAGGAAACUUUGAGAUUGAUGCCUGGUACUUCUCGCCAUUUCCAGAGGACUACGGCAAGCAGCCCAAGCUGUGGAUCUGCGAGUACUGUCUUAAAUACAUGAAGUACGAGAAGACCUUCAGACAUCAUCUGUCCCACUGUCAGUGGAAGCAGCCUCCAGGCAAAGAAAUCUACAGAAGGAGCAACAUAUCAGUGUAUGAAGUGGAUGGGCGGGACCACAAGAUCUACUGUCAAAAUCUUUGUCUACUAGCAAAACUAUUUCUCGACCACAAGACGCUGUAUUUUGACGUGGAGCCCUUUAUCUUCUAUAUCCUCACUGAAGUCAACAAACAGGGAGCGCACAUUGUCGGCUACUUCUCCAAAGAGAAAGAAUCUCCAGAUGGCAAUAACGUGGCGUGUAUUCUUACACUGCCGCCAUACCAACGCAGAGGCUACGGAAAGUUCCUCAUAGCUUUUAGUUAUGAGCUGUCUAAGCUGGAGAGUGCAGUCGGCUCGCCAGAGAAGCCUCUGUCUGAUCUGGGGAAGCUGAGCUACAGAAGUUACUGGUCCUGGGUCCUGCUGGAGAUCCUGAGGGACUUCAGAGGAACACUAUCUAUCAAAGACCUCAGACCCUCCCCCCUCUCUUUCUCCUCAGCCAGAUGACCAGCAUCACGCAGAGUGACAUCAUUAGCACGCUGCAGUCACUCAAUAUGGUGAAGUACUGGAAAGGUCAGCACGUUAUCUGUGUGACACCCAAACUGGUUGAGGAGCACCUGAAGAGCGCCCAGUACAAGAAACCACCAAUUACAGUGGACACUAUGUGUUUGAAGUGGGCGCCGCCCAAAAAUAAACAAGUCAAGUUGUCCAAGAAGUGAGAGGCAGAGCCAGCGAUGCUACAUCUGUCAGUCAAGUCCACCUGUUUUUAUAUAAUCUGUAAAUUUUCUCCUGUUCCCAACUGGCUAAAAGCUGCUGUUCUCAGUGUAUAUAGUUAUUAGUAGCAUUUGUCCGUAUUUUCUUAAAAUAUCCAUACAAAAAA